CGUCCCCAUGGAGGGAGAAGCCGGCCGGCCGGGCGGGCCAGUGUCUCCUCCAAGGGAGACGAGGGCGCAGCGAGCGCUUCCCCCAGGGACCCGCGUCGAGUGCGAGGGCGCAGUGGGUCUGGGGGUGCCACGGUGUCAGGGGUGGGACCUGGGAGAGCUUAACGCGUCCGGAGGGGGGCUGUGAAAGCCUCCAGCAUCGCCAGCGAGCCGUCAGUUCGCGUGUGCGCGCGCCUGCGUGUGCGCGUGUAGUCACAGGGCUGCAGGGACACAGGACCAAAGUACAAAGUACACUCGCAAAGUACAAAGUUCAGAAGCCGAGGGCAAGUGCAGAAACGUCCCUCGCCCGGGAAGUUGAGCGCACACCCAGGCACGCCUGUGUUUCUGGAGAAUCCCCGGUGCAGGCGGCCGAGUUUUCUGCUGCAUCGCAGCCCGCGGGGGUUGGAAAGGCUCCCGCCCUGUUUUCAGGCGCGUCCCCGCCUCCUGAGCCCCGGUCCUCUGCCGAGGGGCCGCGCGCUCCAGUUUGCCAGCGUGAGCUUCACUCUUCGCUCUCGGCGUGGGCCUCCUGAGCCGUGUCUUACUUUCCUUUGAUUCCCUCUCGUCCCAGCUGGAGAAAAGGCUCCCGGAAGGGUGACCUGGUGUCGCUGGAUUCCACUCCCCAUCACUCCCUAGCCAACCCCGCGAGCUGAGCUCCAGGCAGGGAGAGGGGCGGGUGCCUGGGAGUCGGGCUGACUCCCUGGGCGGUGGCGGGCAGGGGUCGAGCGUCCUCUGUCCGUCAGGGGCCCGCAGCACCAGGAGGCGACGCUGGAUGCAGUGGCCAUCUCCUCCUGCCUCCAGGCCAUGGGGAACCCAGGGCGGAUCCCGGGUCAGCAGGGCCAGCUGUCCACCAAGCUGACCCACCCGACAUGCCAGGACUAAGGAAAGAAGGGCUGCCCCACACCCUUAGUCGGAUGGCAAGUGUUUGGGGUGCAGCCCCCGCCACGAGUGUCACCUGUUCUGCCUGAGCAGGCUUCUCUCUUACUCCCUGCUCUUGGGCCUGAAGCAGAGCCGCUGGCUCAGUGGGGCGCUCCAUUCUGAGGUCCCUGGCAUGCACCACGGAAGCCCAGCGGGACCACCCACCCACCUGCCCCAGCUCCCCAGCGGAGGUCCUGAGAUGGCAGAUUAAAUACUCUGGGGUUCUGAAUUCCACAGAUGAACUGGGUCCCCCACGGGUAUGGCCAAGGGAACGGCCCACUCCCUAGUGGCUCCGUGUGAAAUCGAGCUGCUGCUGCUCUCGCCGCAGGGCCCAGCUCACUGCCCAGACAUAGGAGCACAUCGCCCUGCGCACAGGCUGGGUGGGCACAGCUGUGAGGGAGGCCACCCCAUGCCUCAGGCCUCCUGCACAGGCGUGGGCCUCGCCACUCUGGGUGGACAGGCUACUUUGGCCCCUCAGCCUCUGGGGACUGCUGCCCUGUUUUCAGCACCGUGUCAGGCACCAUCUGGUCAGCCAGCUCCUCCAGCCCCGAGACUCCCGUGUCCUCAUUCUCCUGGGCCGUUACGGUCGGCCAGUGCCCAGCCUUUGCUGGAAGGCUGUCCAGGCUGGGCUCUGGUCAGGCAUCGAUGUCCCCCAGGCACCUGGCCUCACCUCGCGUUGGGACAGCCUCUGCAAGAUGGAACAGGAAGGGUCUGGCUUUGCCUCUGUCACCUUCUCCCGGUCCAUCAUGUCCUCCUGGCCAGCCCGUUCCUGGUUCCUGCGGGGAGCCCAGCCCGAAGGGGAACCGAAAGAUUCUAACUUAACUCUAGUUCAGCCUCCCGGAUCCUCCUGUGGAGCGGCAGGAUCCCAUAAAAGAUACUUGGCUCAGCAACUUGCUGGCCAAGCCUCCCCACAGCGGUCCACACAGGCCAGAGGUAAACAUGCCCAUGCCCCACACCUGGAAGGCCUGGUGCAAGGAGGGGUGAUUGUAGUGACUGAAAUGGGAACUCUGGCUUUAUGGCGCGGAGAGAGAAGACAUGGACCCAAGAGCUGCAGGGUGGGGACAACCGACGCGCUCUUUGUCCCCUGGAUGUGGUGCCACAGCCUGAAUCCAAUAGCACGGGCCGCUGACGCGCUGACCUGGGGCUGGGUUAGUCGCUCGUCCCCCUUGCUCUGAAAUGGAGAGUGCACGUGACCACGGCCAGUCCUGGACAAUCCUGCCAUGCCAGAGCCACCAGCUGGAACACACGGACACAACCUCUUUUCCAUCUGACUGGUACAAGCACUUUGCGAGGCCGAGACCGGUGGAUCACUUGAGGUCAGGAGUUCGAGAACAGCCUGGCCAACAUGGCAAAACUCCCGACUCUACUAAAAAACUACAAAUAUUAGCCGGGCAUGGUGGUAAGCACCCGUAGUUCCAGCUACUCAGGAGGCUGAGGCAGGAGAAUCGCUUGAACCCGGGAGGCGCAAGCUAUGAUGAGCCGGGAUGACACCACUGCACUCCAGCCUGGGUGACAGCGAGACAAGAAAGAAAGGAAAGAAGAGAAGGUGAAGGAGAAGGAAGGAAGGAAAUAAACCUCUUUUCUGUCUGAGCCAUUUCAUUUUGGGCCUGUCUGUCCCAGAGGUUUAACUACACUAGUAUAGAGCAUCGUUUACUAAAGGUUUGUUGAGGUUUGUUGUUGAUUUGUUUCUACUUACACGAGAUGUCUUCAUUUUUACCCUCGGUCUUGAAAUAAAAUUUUGGUGCAUGUUCA